rnacentral:tRNA from 15 species
GCGGUCGUGGCGGAAUUGGUAGACGCGCAGCGUUGAGGUCGCUGUGGGGCAACCCGUGGAGGUUCGAGUCCUCUCGACCGCACCA